AUUGAACGCUGGCGGCAUGAUUUACACAUGCAAGUCGAACGGUAACAGGCCGCAAGGUGCUGACGAGUGGCGAACGGGUGAGUAAUGCAUCGGAACGUGCCCAGUCGUGGGGGAUAACUACUCGAAAGAGUAGCUAAUACCGCAUACGAUCUAUGGAUGAAAGCGGGGGACCGUAAGGCCUCGCGCGAUUGGAGCGGCCGAUGUCAGAUUAGGUAGUUGGUGGGGUAAAGGCUCACCAAGCCAACGAUCUGUAGCUGGUCUGAGAGGACGACCAGCCACACUGGGACUGAGACACGGCCCAGACUCCUACGGGAGGCAGCAGUGGGGAAUUUUGGACAAAGGGCGCAAGCCUGAUCCAGCAAUGCCGCGUGCAGGAAGAAGGCCUUCGGGUUGUAAACUGCUUUUGUACGGAACGAAACGGCUCUGGUUAAUACCCGGGGCUAAUGACGGUACCGUAAGAAUAAGCACCGGCUAACUACGUG
rnacentral:rRNA from 1 species